rnacentral:rRNA from 1 species
GAGUUUGAUCCUGGCUCAGAACGAACGCUGGCGGCGUGCUUAACACAUGCAAGUCAGGGAGAAAGUCUCUUCGGGGAUGAUUAAACCGGCGCACGGGUGAGUAACACGUGAGUGACCUGCCUUUUAGACUGGAACAACUUACCGAAAGGUGAGCUAAUGCCGGAUGAGUUAUAUAAGUGCAUGUUUAUAUAGGAAAAGUUGGGGAGACCUGACGCUGAAAGAUGGACUCGCGUCCCAUUAGCUAGUUGGUAGGGUAAUGGCCUACCAAGGCGACGAUGGGUAGCCGGCCUGAGAGGGUGGCCGGCCACACUGGGACUGAGACACGGCCCAGACUCCUACGGGAGGCAGCAGUGGGGAAUUUUGCGCAAUGCUCGUAAGAGUGACGCAGCGACGCCGCGUGAAUGACGAAGGCCUUCGGGUCGUAAAGUUCUUUCGACAGGGAAGAAAAUGCCUAUAAGUAACUGUGUAUGUAUUGACGGUACCUGUAUAAGCAGCCCCGGCUAACUCCGUGCCAGCAGCCGCGGUAAUACGGAGGGGGCGAGCGUUGUUCGGAGUGACUGGGCGUAAAGAGCACGUAGGCGGUGUUGUAAGUCAUUAGUCAAAGACUAGAGCUCAACUUUAGUAAGGCUAGUGAUACUAUAAUACUAGAGUAUCAGAGAGGAUUGCAGAAUUCCUGGUGUAGCGGUGAAAUGCGUAGAUAUCAGGAGGAAUACCGUUAGCGAAG